CCUACGGGGGGCUGCAGUGGGGAAUAUUGCACAAUGGGCGCAAGCCUGAUGCGGCCAUGCCGCGUGUGUGAAGAAGGCCUUCGGGUUGUAAAGCACUUUCAGCGGGGAGGAAGGCGUUAAGGUUAAUAACCUUGGCGAUUGACGUUACCCGCAGAAGAAGCACCGGCUAACUCCGUGCCAGCAGCCGCGGUAAUACGGAGGGUGCAAGCGUUAAUCGGAAUUACUGGGCGUAAAGCGCACGCAGGCGGUCUGUCAAGUCGGAUGUGAAAUCCCCGGGCUCAACCUGGGAACUGCAUUCGAAACUGGCAGGCGAGAGUCUUGUAGAGGGGGGUAGAAUUCCAGGUGUAGCGGUGAAAUGCGUAGAGAUCUGGAGGAAUACCGGUGGCGAAGGCGGCCCCCUGGACAAAGACUGACGCUCAGGUGCGAAAGCGUGGGGAGCAAACAGGAUUAGAUACCCCGGUAGUC
rnacentral:rRNA from 1 species